rnacentral:miRNA from 1 species
UGGGAUUUUGUGAAGUAUGU